UGCAAAUGAUGUUUUCUCACGAUGGUCUUCUAAACCUUUCAGGGUUCUGAUGAUAGUGCCUUUUUGGCUUUGCUGAUGCAGCUGG